UUCCCGGCGAUCUAAAAGGAACCAGGAGCCGAUCUGCACAU
rnacentral:sRNA from 1 species